CUGACCUCAGCUCAACCUGUCUUGGGUUUUCUUCUCCUCCCUGACAUUGACAACCCAGCCCUCCUAGGCACAGAGAGAUGGAGCUGAGUGUGGUUUUCCUGAAAUAAAGCUUGCAUUAUGAGAGGGAAUAAACAGGGAAAUUGACCAUUGCUUCCAGACAUGUGUGGGAGUCCAGAACAUGCCACUCCAAAAGGAGGAUUGUCGAGCUGAAGACAAUUAAGAAGAAACAGAUGCAGGAAAGCUCUCUGC
rnacentral:lncRNA from 1 species